CGCUAUUUGGGAGAGGAAAAUUAUUCUCAGGAAAGAGCUCAGGAAAGUCUGUGUUUGCAAAUGCACAAUAUACAUUACUAAGGGUGAAACAUGAUGCUAAAGAGUUCUGUAACGGAAGUUUGAGAUGCUUCCCACUCAUAGCCAUGGAGAUUGCCUCUCAGUAGAUGAAAUCUACAGCUACAUCCUCUCACUAUAGAAGUUAUGAAUUGUAUUAGCAGCUUGCAACACCUAAAUGAAAGAUCUCUGUGAGUGAGAUCCCAGUGGAAAGAACAGGUCUUCAAAGAAGGAGGUACCUUUCUCUGAAGGGAGGANNNNNNNNNNNNNNNNNNNNNNNNNNNNNNNNNNNNNNNNNNNNNNNNNNNNNNNNNNNNNNNNNNNNNNNNNNNNNNNNNNNNNNNNNNNNNNNNNNNNUAUGUUCCUAAGUCUGUGUAUAUGAAAUACAUUGCAUUUGCAUAACUUAAAUACAAUUUUCAAAAAAUUAAAAAAAAAGAAAAACAGAAAAGUAGAAGGGACAAUGAGAGUUUUUUCUACCUACCUGUCACUUUUAAAAGAACCUUCUCUAAAAUUUGUUACCAAAAUUAUUAUUAUUCUUUCCUUUCAUGAAGAGGCCCCUUCCCUGCCCAUAAACUUUGCUUUGCUAAAACAUCUGGGUUCAGCUUGGGCUUUCCUCUUUUUAAACAGACUGCUGAGGCAAAUCAAGUUCAGGGCCUGACUUUUUCCAUUUGGCAACUUUCAUUUCCUGGAAAUAUGGGGUAAUUAACAAAUUGUCUGCUUUAAUACCCCGUCACUUGGUGUGCAUUUGGUAGCGAGAUGAUUCUCAUGCUUGCUGAGUUAAAUGAAAGGAUAUACUUUAUGUCAUCACAGAAAACACAGGGUCUAUUUAUGAUUUUAAUUGCUUCACAUCAUAUACACCCAUUUGUAUAUUUAUAUACGUAUUUAAAGGGUAAGGGUAAAAGAUAGUUUGCAAAUCGUUGAAAAUUUCUAUUAAUCCAUGAUAAAAAAAAAAUCCUUAAAUUCCUUUGGGAAAAAAAUCCCUAGAUGAAAGCAGGCAUUUAUGCAUGUUUUCGAAGUAACUAGAUACUAUCGUGCAUAGCUUUUGGAUUAAAAAGGGAAUUCUAUGUCUUAGACUUUCUGCUUCUUUACUAAAUGGAUAAUUCAAAACUGGGAGACGCAGCUCUAAGUUUGCUGUUUACAGAAAACACAUGCUAAUGUAACAGUGUACGAGGAAUUAAAGGGAAAAUGUCAAACACGCCAUAAGAUCCAAAAUGAAUUCAGCUGUUUGCUUUUACUAGGGGGACUUUCAUUCUCCAGCCUACCCCUUCUAAGACCGAGUGUUUCUGUGUUAGGCUAAAAAUAGCCAGCCAAGCCUAACAACUAGCUUCUGAUUGGCUCGGAGCAAAAACCACUCAGCCAAUGAGAGCUUCUGGGAACAAAAGCAAUUCUUUUGUGUGUGAGAUGCUCAACCCACGUCAAAACAGCUUCAGGCUGUAGAAAUGAUUUUGGUUGCGAUUUAACAAGGUAAUAAUGCAUUUCAGCCCUCUGAAAGGUUUGAAGCAGAACAAAGGGGCUAGCAAAAUCUACAAAACAAAUGGAGCGCUCAGGCUUUCAGCGAUGAAUCAUCCGGGUGCCUGAGCUACAAACAUUUGCAAGCCCGGAGAAAAGAAAAGAAAGAACGCCAGAAUUUUUUUUUUCCUGUUUUCUGCCUGAGAUUUUUAACUUAUUUCCCAAGAGUUUUCUUUACUCAAGCAAAAGGCAGUCAAAAGCAUUUAUGUUGACUAUGCACAAGUUGUUAUCAUUUCGCCGAAUUGAAAGCCACUUGUCCACGAUUUCUUUUAACUCUUUCAAAACAAAGACUUAUGCGUGGUAGGAAGUAGGUAGCAAAGCUCCGGAAACACUGGGCUGUGGUGGCUGGGCAUUAAAAACAGCGCAAGUUCUCAAAGUGAAGACAGUUCAUGAUUAGUGUCUGAUUGCUUUCAGGACACGCAGAAUAAAGCGGACUUGACUGCAGAAAAGCA
ensembl:lncRNA